ACAAAGAAAAGGCAAAACACGCGAAAACGUGUGACGCAAAACCACCGGUCUAAGGGUUAGCAAUAACCUAUGACAGCGGAGUCACCUCG
rnacentral:ncRNA from 1 species